rnacentral:rRNA from 1 species
UGGGGAAUAUUGCACAAUGGGCGAAAGCCUGAUGCAGCAACGCCGCGUGAGUGAUGAAGGUCUUCGGAUUGUAAAGCUCUGUCUUUUGGGACGAUAAUGACGGUACCAAAGGAGGAAGCCACGGCUAACUACGUGCCAGCAGCCGCGGUAAUACGUAGGUGGCGAGCGUUGUCCGGAUUUACUGGGCGUAAAGGGUGCGUAGGCGGAUGUUUAAGUGAGAUGUGAAAUACCCGGGCUUAACUUGGGUGCUGCAUUUCAAACUGGAUAUCUAGAGUGCAGGAGAGGAGAAUGGAAUUCCUAGUGUAGCGGUGAAAUGCGUAGAGAUUAGGAAGAACACCAGUGACGAAGGCGAUUCUCUGGACUGUAACUGACGCUGAGGCACGAAAGCGUGGGUAGCAAACAGGAUUAGAUACCCUGGUAGUCCACG